GCCCAAGUGAGCCUGCAUGCGUGCAACUUUCAAUUUGACUUAAUUAUAUGGGCCUACAGGCUGCAGUCUGUUGUUGGUGAGUUCUUAUGGUGGACUUUGACGAGUUUUUUGGUCAUCUCCGUGUAUUUGUUACAAUAAAAUACAUUUUCGUUUUUUCACUAUUCAGGUUACGAAAUGACAUCGACCGAGUGGAUGCUAGUGUGGACGAAGCUCAAGAGACGAUUGAUCUGAAGGGACAAGGGUUGAUGAGGUUGGAACAUUCAUGCCACACACUUACCAUCUUCUUUUCUCUGGUUCUUGUGCACUGUGAAGUGAAGCAAUGACACAAAAUUAAUUUGUAUUUGUAGGUUACAGUCAUUCAUUUCCCAGGAAAAAAGGAAAAAAAAAGAGUCAUCGAUUUGGAUUUGAGCAUUUCCUAGACAGAAUUACAAGAGGUUGAUCAUGCACUCCUGAUUAGGAACAAGU
rnacentral:lncRNA from 1 species